GGGUCAGUAGGUUGGUCGUGCCACCGGUACGUACUGGUCUCACUGAUUCCUCCUUCCUGAAGAACCGUAAUGCCACUAGUUUGGUGUUGCGGGGAAACAGGACUGUUACUUUGAAAAAAUUAGAGUGUUUAAAGCAAGCUAACGCUUGAAUACGUUAGCAUGGAAUAAUGAAAUAGGACGAUCGAUCCUAUUUUGUUGGUUUCUAGGAUUGACGUA
rnacentral:rRNA from 1 species